rnacentral:lncRNA from 1 species
GGAAAAUUUAAAUUUAAAUUUAUCCAAAUAUUUUAAAUGGAAUAUGGAUAUUAAUAAAAUACUAUCUUUUCCUUUCUAGUUUCCAAUCAGCAGUCCAAACUGAGAGGAUUUGUUUCCCUAAAAGGCGUGGAUUUGGCCUAAAUGAUAACAUUUAUUCAAUAGAAAAUAUUAAGAAUUUCAAUAUGAAAAAGUUUAAAGCUAACAAAUGGAGUUUCUGGAGAGCUUUUUUAACAUGUGCUUGUAUGAAAUUACGCCCUUUUUGCAGAGAAUGGGGGUUAGGGAUAAAAUUCUGGGAUCCAAGAAAAGAAGGCCUAUUUCCGUAUUGAAUGACUACAGAAUUAUAUCAUGAGUUUUAGCUGUGCAAAUGGAGCCCAUUUUAAAUUAAAACAUUGGAAUGGGUCAAAUAUGAUUCUUCGAGAAAAGCAAAAUAUUUGAUAUUUCACGAAACAUCUAAGCAACUAUCGAUUUAGUAAGUACUAGAAAAAAAUUUGGGGCUAUUAUCGGAGUUGACUCUAGUAAAUCAUUUGAUGCGAUAAAUCAUUGUUAUGUUUUUAAAGCUAUUAAGAGACUUCUCUCCCAAAAGUUUUUUAAUGCUGUGAGGGGACUUUUACAAAAUGCUUCAUCUACUAGAGGAAGAAAGUUAACUGUUUUAUCAGAAAAAAGCUGCAAACAAGGCUGCCCGACCACGCUUCUAUUAAUAGUUGUAUCCAUAGAAGAGUCAAUUAUACAUAUUUCAAAAAAAUACGACGGGUUGGUUGUUUAUUUUAAUGACUAACUGCAUAUGUUUGAUGCUUAUGCAGAUGUUAUCACUUUAAUAGUAGAAGCUUAUUCAGAGUCACAGCUUCUUAAAAGCAUCAAUAUCCUGCAGGACUUCUUCGAAAAGUAUGAGAUCUAGUUUAAGGCUCAACUGGUGAAAGACAUCCAUUUUUCCUUUGGGUGCUUGGAAGCCAAGUGAGGAUCAAAAAGUGGAGAAAUUUGAAUCUUUGGAGAAGAAUUGAUCUAUAUAGCACACAAGUACUUCCUUUAGUUAUAUACAAACCCCUGCUUCGCUUCAAUUUGAAAGAGGAACAAGAGUGAUUAAAGAAGAGUUUUUACCAAUGCUAUUUCAUCACCGUAAAAAGGUUUUAAUUCUAAUAACACGAUCGACAUACUUUGCCAAAACCUGAACAAAAAAAACUUUUUUUAAGAAUCUU